rnacentral:rRNA from 1 species
GACGAACGCUGGCGGCGUGCUUAACACAUGCAAGUCGAACGGAAAGGCCCUGCUCUUGUGGGGUGCUCGAGUGGCGAACGGGUGAGUAACACGUGAGUAACCUGCCCUUGACUUUGGGAUAACUUCAGGAAACUGGGGCUAAUACCGGAUAGGAGCUCCUGCUGCAUGGUGGGGGUUGGAAAGUUUCGGCGGUUCGGGAUGGACUCGCGGCUUAUCCGCUUGUUGGUGUGGUAGUGGCUUACCAAGGCUUUGACGGGUAGCCGGCCUGGGAGGGUGACCGGCCACAAUAGGACUAAGAGACGGCGCAGUAGCGUACGGGAGGCAGCGGUGGAAAGUAUUGCGCAAUGGGCGGGAGCCUGAUACGGCAGCGCCGCGUGCGGAAUGACGGCCUUCGGGUUAUGAACCGCUUUCGCCUGUGACGAGGCGUGAGUGACGGUAAUGGGUAAAGAAGCACCGGCUAACUACGUG